rnacentral:rRNA from 1 species
AAUCAACGCUGGCGGCGUGCCUCAGACAUGCAAGUCGAACGAGAAAGUUCCCUUCGGGGAGCGAGUAAAGUGGCGCACGGGUGAGUAACACGUAGGUAAUCUACCUUCGGGUGGGGAAUAACCCAGGGAAACUUGGGCUAACACCGCAUAAUGCAGCGGCACCACAUGGUGACAGUUGUUAAAGCGGGGGAUUUUAGGACCUCGCGCCUGAAGAGGAGCCUGCGGCGGAUUAGCUUGUUGGAAGGUAACGGCUUACCAAGGCGACGAUCCGUAGCCGGCCUGAGAGGGCGGUCGGCCACACUGACACUGACAUACGGGUCAGACUCCUACGGGAGGCAGCAGUCGGGAAUUUUGGGCAAUGGGCGAAAGCCUG